AGUGAACGCUGGCGGUAGGCCUAACACAUGCAAGUCGAACGGCAGCACAGUAAGAGCUUGCUCUUACGGGUGGCGAGUGGCGGACGGGUGAGGAAUACAUCGGAAUCUACUUUUUCGUGGGGGAUAACGUAGGGAAACUUACGCUAAUACCGCAUACGACCUACGGGCGAAAGCAGGGGAUCUUCGGACCUUGCGCGAUUGAAUGAGCCGAUGUCGGAUUAGCUGGUUGGCGGGGUAAAGGCCCACCAAGGCGACGAUCCGUAGCUGGUCUGAGAGGAUGAUCAGCCACACUGGAACUGAGACACGGUCCAGACUCCUACGGGAGGCAGCAGUGGGGAAUAUUGGACAAUGGGCGCAAGCCUGAUCCAGCCAUCCCGCGUGGGUGAAGAAGGCCUUCGGGUUGUAAAGCCCUUUUGUUGGGAAAGAAAAGCAGCAGGUUAAUACCCCGCUGUUCUGACGGUACCCAAAGAAUAAGCACCGGCUAACUUCGUG
rnacentral:rRNA from 1 species